rnacentral:rRNA from 1 species
GACGAACGCUGGCGGCGUGCUUAACACAUGCAAGUCGAGCGGAGCGGCGAACGGGUGAGUAACGCGUGAGUAACUGCCCCCCUCUCUGGGAUAACAGAUGGAAACGGCUGCCAAUAACGGAUAGUGGGGGAUGACUCGCGUCCUAUCAGCUUGUUGGUGGGGUAGUGGCCUACCAAGGCGACGACGGGUAGCCGGCCUGAGAGGGCGACCGGCCACAUUGGGCUGAGGUACGGCCCAAACUCCUACAUUGUGCAGCAGUGGGGAAUAUUGCACAAUGGGGGAAACCCUAAUACAGCAACGCCUCGUGCGGGAUGACGGCCUUCGGGUUGUAAACCGCUUUCAGCCAUGACGCGGUAGUGGCAGAAGAAGCACCGGCUAACUACGUGCCAGCAGCCGCGGUAAUUC